rnacentral:rRNA from 1 species
GGGGUAAAAAUUAAUUAUUUUUUUUAAUUUAAUAAAAAAAAUUUUAAUAUUAAAAAUAUGAUAAUGGGGGUUAAAGUAUUUUUAAUAGAAAAAAUUUAUUUUUUUUUAUAGUUAAUUAGUAUUGUGGGGGAAUUUUGAAAAAAUUGAAAAUAAAUUUUUUUAAAAGUAAUUUUAAUUUAUUGUAUCUUGUGUAUCAGAGUUUAUUAAUAAUAUUUUAUUAUUUAAAUUUCUCGAAUUUAAAAGAGUUAAUUAAUUAAAAAAUUUAUUGUUUCAUAAAUAUUUUAAAUAAUUAAUUAGAAAUGAAAUGUUAUUCGUUUUUAAAUAUAUCUAGUUUUUUAAGAAAAAAAUUUAAUUUUUAAUUAAUUUUUAAAAUUAAUUGAAUUUUUUUUUAAUUAAUUUUAAAAUUUAAUUUAAUAUUUUGGGGGAUAAGCUUUAAAUUAAAUUUUUAUAAUUAAUUAUAAAUUUAUUUGAAAUUUUUAUGAUUUAUAUUGUUAAUAAAUUUUAUUUUAUUAUAAAUAAUUUCAUUUAAUUAAAAAUUUAAUUUUAAAUUUAAUAUUUUAUUAAAAAAUAAAUUUUAAUAAUUUAGAUUUAAUUAUAAUGAUAAAAUUAGUAUAUAAGUAAGUAAAUAUAUUUAUAAUUUUAUUUUUUAUUAAUUAUUUAAAAGGAAUUUGACAAAUAUUUAUGUUCACCUGUUUAUCAAAAACAUGUCUUUUUGGUUGAUAAUUUAAAGUCUAAUCUGCCCACUGAUUUUUAUAAAAUUAAAGGGCUGCAGUAUAUUGACUGUACAAAGGUAGCAUAAUCAAUAGUCUUUUAAUUGAUGACUUGUAUGAAAGAUUGGAUGAAAUAUAAAUUGUCUCUUAAUUAUUUAUUAGAAUUUAAUUUUUUAUUUAAAAAGUUAAAAUAUUUUAAAAAGACGAGAAGACCCUAUAGAGUUUUAUAUUUAGUUAAAUUUAAAUUAUAAAUUAAUAGGUUUUAUUUAAAGUUAUUUAAGUAUUUCAUUGGGGUGAUGAAAAAAUUAAUUUAACUUUUUUUUUAUUUGACCAUAAAUAUAUGAUUUAUUGAUCCAGUAAUAUUGAUUAUAAGAUUAAAUUACCUUAGGGAUAACAGCGUAAUUUUUUUUUUUAGUACUUAUAAGAAAAAGAGUUUGCGACCUCGAUGUUGGAUUAAGGUAAAAUUUAAAUGCAAAAGUUUAAAAUUUUGAUCUGUUCGAUCAUUAAAACCUUACAUGAUCUGAGUUCAAACCGGUGUAAGCCAGGUUGGUUUCUAUCUUUUGAUAAUUUUAAUAUUUUAGUACGAAAGGAUUGAAUAUUGUAAUUAAAUUAAUUUUUUUUUGAUUUUUAUUAAUUUUAUUUUUGUAUAUAUAUAUAUAUAUAUAUAUUUAUGUUCAUUUAUUGAUAAAUUUUUUA